AACGAACGCUGGCGGCAGGCUUAACACAUGCAAGUCGAGCGCCCCGCAAGGGGAGCGGCAGACGGGUGAGUAACGCGUGGGAAUCUACCCAUCCCUACGGAAUAACGCAUGGAAACGUGUGCUAAUACCGUAUACGUCCUUCGGGAGAAGGAUUUAUCGGAGAUGGAUGAGCCCGCGUUGGAUUAGCUAGUUGGUGGGGUAAAGGCCUACCAAGGCGACGAUCCAUAGCUGGUCUGAGAGGAUGAUCAGCCACACUGGGACUGAGACACGGCCCAGACUCCUACGGGAGGCAGCAGUGGGGAAUAUUGGACAAUGGGCGCAAGCCUGAUCCAUCCAUGCCGCGUGAGUGAUGAAGGCCCUAGGGUUGUAAAGCUCUUUCACCGGUGAAGAUAAUGACGGUAACCGGAGAAGAAGCCCCGGCUAACUUCGUGCCAGCCGCCGCCGUAACAC
rnacentral:rRNA from 1 species